CUUUCUUUGCUGGCGACCGGCGCACGGGUGAGUAACACGUAUCCAACCUGCCCUUUACUCGGGGAUAGCCUUUCGAAAGAAAGAUUAAUACCCGAUAGUAUAAUGAUUCCGCAUGGUUUCAUUAUUAAAGGAUUCCGGUAAAGGAUGGGGAUGCGUUCCAUUAGGUUGUUGGUGAGGUAACGGCUCACCCAGCCUUCGAUGGAUAGGGGUUCUGAGAGGAAGGUCCCCCACAUUGGAACUGAGACACGGUCCAA
rnacentral:rRNA from 1 species